rnacentral:rRNA from 1 species
CCUACGGGGGGCUGCAGUGGGGAAUAUUGGUCAAUGGCCGUAAGGCUGAACCAGCCAAGUAGCGUGAGGGAAGACUGCCCUAUGGGUUGUAAACCUCUUUUAUGCGGGGAUAAAGGUGUCCACGUGUGGAUGUUUGCAGGUACCGCAUGAAUCAGGACCGGCUAAUUCCGUGCCAGCAUCCGCGGUAAUACGGAAGGUGCGGGCGUUAUCCGGAUUGAUUGGGUUUAAAGGGAACGUAGGCCGGUCUUUAAGCGUGCCGUGAAAUUUUGUGGCUCAACCAUGAGAGUGCGGCGCGAACUGGAGACCUUGAGUGCGCGGAAGGCAGGCGGAAUUCGUGGUGUAGCGGUGAAAUGCUUAGAUAUCACGAAGAACCCCGAUGGCGAAGGCAGCCUGCCGAAGCGUUACUGACGCUGAAGCUCGAAAGCGCGGGUAGCGAACAGGAUUAGAUACCCCGGUAGUC